rnacentral:rRNA from 1 species
UACGGGGGGGGCAAGCGUUGUUCGGAAUUACUGGGCGUAAAGGGCGCGUAGGCGGCCUGCUAAGUCGGAUGUGAAAUCCCUCGGCUCAACCGGGGAACUGCAUCCGAUACUGGCGGGCUUGAAUCCGGGAGAGGGAUGCGGAAUUCCAGGUGUAGCGGUGAAAUGCGUAGAUAUCUGGAGGAACACCGGUGGCGAAGGCGGCAUCCUGGACCAACACUGACGCUGAGGAGCGAAAGCCAGGGGAGCAAACGGG